UAGUCUUUUUAAUUUUGAGAAUGGUUGUUAAAAGAUAAACUUCCUCAAAAUCUCUUAGAUGCAAGUACAGAUUCUCGGAUUCUAAACCAUGAAAUGUUGGUAAAAAUUGGAUAAUAUCUGGUUUAAAGUUGAAUCGAGAUGCUUCUGGAGGAAAUACUAUACACGACGGUGCUCCGGUUCUGGUUGGAUUCAUGUAGUCUCUCAGAGUUCUUGGUUGAUUCUGAUCAUGCCCAUGUUGAGAAUGGUUGUCUCCCCAAUCAAUUUGAGGAUUAAGUCCGCCCUAAAUAUUUUCGUCUUGAUUCUCAUCCAUGAUUGGUGGAGGAGAUUGAGAUCUACGAAUUAACCUGCCACUUGAAGUUCAAGACCAACGUCUCAUGCAAUGGUUAUGUCACAAAGACAGUAUUCACACAAAUUAAUAACAAAAUUAAAAGGACUAAUUAAAAAUUGAAAAAAAAUAUGCAAAUA
rnacentral:lncRNA from 1 species